CUAUAUAACAUUUAUUGCUUUUUCUUUUGUAUGGACCACCCAAUAUUUUUUCAUGCUUAUAGUUGUAUAUAUUGCUUUUAUCGUAACUGUGAAGUAUGAACAUUAAAGUAUCAAGAGCUCUCACUGCAAUUGCUGAAGCAGUGUUAGUUGAAGUAAAUGUUAGAGUGCAUUUUAUUAAGAAUUACGAACUUUUGGAUAGAACUUAAAUUGAGAAGGCCAUUUCAGAUUGAGAAAAAAUGUUUUGAUCUGAUCUUCCAAGGGUCAAGAUGGCGAGUAAGAUUUUCAGGCUUGGGGAAAGGGGUAUACCAGGGUCUACGAAUUGGAAGAGAGAGAAAUGGUCUGAUCAGCAAAGUGUCAACUAAAAUCAAUGGGUAGAGGGCACCAUUAUGGAGGAAGUUUGUAGAGGUGUUACUGGGAAUGGUUACAAAUCAACGCGGGAGUUUGUGUUAUUGAAACUCAAAGGAAAGGGAUACCAAGAAGCAUUAGAAUUCCCAGGUGGAUGAGGUGAGAAAUGAAGAGGUCUGCUAAGCUAGGGGAAAGAGAGCUCUCUGGUGGGUUUAGAGUCUGGUCGGGAAGAAACUUUUCCCAAUUUCUGUAGAGGUCUGCUCCAAGUGGAAAGUAUCUUGUUUCCUAUUUGGGUUGAAGUUGCUUCAUUAAUGAUUGAAAAGGAAACAGUUUGGUAAAAUGGUAUUACUGAUGGAAAGAAAGGGAGGUGAGGGCAGCAUGUCAGUCUGACUCCAUGAAAUCAUAUAUCAACGGGGAUAGGAAUGUAUGCAGGUUCCCUUUGGAUAAGGUAAUGCAAAUAUAAGUAAUGCCUUUACUAAUUUUGAAAUUGAAAUUGCUACAGGCCGGGCCAUCUAAAAGCUCAUGCAUUUAGCAAUCUCGGCCUCCUCUGCAGGUUUGCAUAAAUGAUCCAUACCCCAAACAAAACCAGUUUGGUUCUUUUAAAGGUCCUGUGAUCUACAAUUAUAGAAUGGAUAUAAAAAUGUAUGGAUUAUGCCUGCCAUUAUGAGGUUGUACACUAAACCUUAUAUGAUAAUGGAACACAUUAGAUGGAUCCCACCUUUUCUUCUUCACAACAAAGUUUGGAUUUAAGUCUGUCCUUUAGAUUGCAAAAAAAAGAAAAAA